GUCUUCUGUGGUCAACCCAGAAAUCAAAUACCUACUAUAAACACUUCACAUUGUUUAUGAAUAAUAUUAAGAUGAAGAGGAUACUCACUUACUUUUUAUGCUCAAUACUGGUGUCAACGGAUGAGUUACAUAAACCCAGGACAGGUUUGGAAAUCUCCACUUCAUCUACAGCUGAUUUUUCUGCGAGCCCUGGAAAGAAAAUAUUGAUAUAGUAGUGUCAAGAUCAGAAACAACACCUGCUUGAUUGCUCACAGUCCCUAGGCGCAUUUGAUGUCUUUUUUCCAUGUUCUGAAGGUCCAUUUUGGUAACAAGGUGACAUUUGUGGUCAUCAGUGAGAGAAAAGCACCACAGCUAAAACAAACAGGGGCAGAACUCCGCUGAUGUUAUCGGUCUGAGGUGGCUGGUCAAGAGUUCAAUAUCCCAGACAAUGAUGUAGUCGGCAGAGGCAGAGCAGAGGAGAACAGGUCUGCUUCCUUUUCCAAAGGUCAUGGCACUGAUCUCACCGUGGUGGCCAGUUAACAACAGUGGCUGUGGUCAAACAUUUCAAUUCAAGUAAAAUAUGCAAUAUACUGUAACAAAUGUAUGGCUCUUGGAUGAUAAUAUUAGUGAUUGACAUAUCAAUAUUGACUUUCUCCAUCAUAAAAAAAUCAAUAUAAAUCACAUUCCUUCAGUGUAAUAAUAAUUUCAUUUUACUAGAUUGUGGCCGAUUUGUGCUAAUACAAAGUAGCUACUUUUUUAAUUACUUUUAUUUAGUAUUUUUAAAUUAAAAUGUUUUGUAACAUACAGAAUUUUGAGCCUAUCGUUAUACAAGACCAAUAGGCAAUAGCUUAUGAUAAAAAUAAAAAAGGAAAAAAGGCAUGUGCAGAUACAAAAUACACUAAGGACUAGCUAAUACACAACACAGAAAUCAAAACGUUAGCUAGGUCACUGUGGUUUGACAGAUAUUAUAAAUAAAAUAACAAGUAAAAGUUGUUUUGUGCACACAAUAGCAAAACUUUGAUGACAAACCUUAUGG